CUGGGAUAUAGCGCGCCCCGAUGCUCGGUCGCGAGCGCAGUGGCUCGGGCGGGUGGUACGUUUAGAUGGCUGAACAAGUGCUUUCUGCAAAAAACAAGUCAGAUGUGGUCCUUGUACGCUGACAUGAGGGAUACCCUGGUGAUGUAUUCUGGGAUGGCCAUUCCUUUAAAAAGACAGCCUGAGCUGAUUGGACGAGGAGCAUCAGCUGAUCACCCAGUGAGCCAGCAGCACUGCAGUAAGUGGUGCGUGUUGGGCACAGUGAGAGUGGUACUGCCGCACUGAGUGGAGCCAUAUGGACACCAACAAUAACACUGCAAACAUGCCUUCCCUGGUACUGCAGUCAGUGUGGGUACUGACACUGACCUCCCAUGCAAUACAUCGCCGCCAUUUUCACCGACAAUAUUCCUGUUUUUGUCAACUGUGAAACUAAAUCAAGUCUGUUUAAAGCCCUUAUUGUGACCAUGACAACAUAGAAAUAGCUAAACCAUGUCUUAUAUGGUCAGAUUGUUUUGUAGAAUCUAUCUGUGAUCAUUGUACAUUAAAAAAGUACUAUUGGCAGUUAUUACUGGGCCGUUACGAACAUUUGUCCCCACAGCAGUGUCCUUCUGUCGAUUCAAUCUGCAGUUUUGACACCACUAAGCAGCAGAGGCAACUUAUUGCAGAACUGGAGAAUAAAAAUAGUCGAAGGUGACCUUGUAUAUUAAUAGCAAUUCUUAAUAUCCGUGUAUAUUAAUAAGGAAUUACAAGCAGUUUGGUUGCAACAAUUGAGUAAAUUCCCAAAGGAAUCAGUUUUGCCAACUUAUGCCUAAAAACAUUUUUGUUUUAAUUGUAUAAUGAUGUAUACUGCCUAAGAAUAGCUUGCUUAACUGCAGGUAUUUUCUGUCCUGUUGUAGCGACAUGCCAGUUAAAUAUGCAGCAAUGCAGCACAUGCGACAUGACCUCGCGUGUCUGCGUGUGUGCGUGUCAUAGCAGCGAGAUCCCACGGGAGAUUCCCAGCCUGUCCUGGAGAAGGCGCUACAGAGCCCUCUGCUCCUGGUGACCCUGCAGGACAGUAGCUGGAUGGAGGGCAGAAGGACACCCCAGUCACAUGGUCUGACACGACACGACACAGGAAGCUUUAAUACCCUCAAAAGUCCUCAAAAGACUAUUUACAUUCACAUUUAUUUAUUAGCUGACUCUUUAUUUAUAAAUCAUGUUACCUGAAUAGUACAUUUAUACAUUGUUGCUACUGAUUACGACUGCAAUUACGGGAAUUUUUAUUUUAAUUUAUUUAGACCACUGGUCCCUCCCACAUCCCCACUGUGUGCAGUGUUCUCAGUGUAGGUGGGUGGCACCAGGGGGCAGCAGACAGGUCUCCGUAACCAUGUUAUAAUCGAUGCACAUCAAUAACACCAUGAGCUCUGGACUCAGAUGGAUGUCAGAGGAUGUGGCUGAACUGGAGACGCAUUUUACUGAUGGCCCUUGUCCAGUUUACUGACAUGUAAACCGAGGUUUUGAGGCUCUAAUUUGGUUGUAUUAAGUAAUAAUAAUUAAUAGUAAUAAACCACAGGUAGAUAUGCUCCAGACCGCUGGGACCCUGCAAGUGGGAUUAAUCGUUAUAUAACAUAGGCGAAGAAGCUUUGGGUUAUAUGAUUAAUUGUAUGAUUUUCAAGAGACAUUAAGCCUGUAAGCCACAUAUGAGCCAUAUAAGUAUUUUUAUGGAUUUAUUUGACUUAGUUGCUGCCUACAUCCAGUGUGUUUCUUGCUGCCUGUUGGACAGAAACCGUUUUAGAUACUGAGGCAGUCAGUCUGCAUCCUCUCUUGCCAUCCUUUCUUCUCACCUGCCUGCUCACCCCCUCGUCUCCAGCGCCGUUCUGGAUCUUUCGUUCGCCCUCUUCAUCUGGUGACUAGCAGGAUGACUG